rnacentral:misc_RNA from 1 species
GACAUAGUGGCGUACUAGAGCAUUCAGGCCACAGUCCGCUUGAUUGGAAACUCAACCUUUCCAAGCAAGCGGGACGUUCAACCACCGUAUACGAACGAAAAGCGUUUCGAGCCCCAGGUCUGUGGCAGCACGUUGCGGUUGGUGCAGGUCGGCGUGACCGUCGCCCGUGCCGUCGGAACGCAAAACAGGUGGAGCUGCUGCUGCUGCUGCUGCUGCUGCCGCUACUGCUGCCGUUGUCAGUUCGAAGAUGGUGUACGGCACGGCGUGCCGGUGAACGAUAUAGCCGAGAAUUUCCGGGCCUGGCUUCGCUCCCAGAAGCAGGGUGCGAAUGCGAAACGUGGAAGUGUUUCCAGGAGAUACUGCGAGAUGCUGGCGCUUAUGGAGAGAUAGAAACAGGGGCUUUCCGGGUCAAAGGGAGCAAUCGUUCCGUUUUUGUGCAUAUGGACAUGAAGUACGUGCAGGAAUACUAUUUUCGGAGAGGCUUUUAUGACCUGAAUAGCAAGGUUUUAAGGGUGGCUGGUCGCUUUUCUUCUGGAAACCGCUGCCAUGAUUCAUGGAGACCAAGGGAUACCCGACGCUUGAGUCGACACCCAUGAAGAACGACAAUGUCAUGGGUGCGCUCCGCGAGCUCGUACGCACACGCUCAAGUUCUGGUCUCUUGCGAAUGCGAUCAAGUCUCUGGGGUUUAUCUCAGCGACUGCUUCCUGUUCCUGCCGCGUACUUCCGGCUUCACAGGCACCGUUCUCUUCUGUCGCUCCAGAUUCGGUGUCAGCAGUCGAAGGGUGUUGACGGCAGUGUGCGAGUCCCAACUGUUUCUCGGCCUCGGGCUGGUGUCAACGAAUGCAAUGCGCACUCGCGGUCGCUGCGAUCUACGCAUCACUUGCCAUGUUCGUCUUCUUAUUGUGCAGCCUCAGUGCACGUCCUUCGCAGCAGUAACGCUUGACUCUGGGCAGGUGUUUCCGUACCGUCCAUCGCACCGUUUUCUCCGAGUCCUGCCUUCUGGGUCACCAGCGCUAGUCGCAUCGCUCGCUACAAGCGCUGGACGGGUCCAGGCGGUUACCUCUGAUACCAACCUGCAUUGGCGCGCCCGCCGCUGCACCCUACGCUCAUGAGCUUCACCUAGAGUGACCAGCUCGGCGAAUUCGCUUGCUUCUGCGUACGAAAGCGAAUGCAUACGCUGUUGCGUUCGGUCAAGGACUGUGGAGCGCGAUGUUGUCCAUGAUGAAACAAGCACCGCAAGGAAUACCCUGCGGGCGAAACGAGUCUACGAAUUCUGAUCCGUCCACGCGCCUUUCGUGCAACGCGUCGACACCAGCUCGACUGGAAGCGCUCGCUACGAUGACUCGAGUCCGAGUCCGGGUCCGAGUCCGAGACCCCUCAACAGGUAAACGGAAGCGUCGGGCACCCCCGGGGUCGUAUCCCGUGAGCGAUACCGUGCUGCUGUGGAGUCUCGUUGCGUCGAUAGCCACGGAGGAAGGAUGAUUUGUCUUCCAAGCGGAACUCAAUAUUGGACAUGACAUCGUCUGCGGGCCGUCGGCAGGAGCUUGUGAUCAAGCCGUCAUGGCGUAUCGUAGAGUGUUUUGCAUCGUUCCUCUGGCGUUGCGGACUGCUGCGCCCACGAGUUGCCAUGAAGCAGCUGAAUCGUGAGCUUGAAGCACGCGUGACUGGAGCGUGCGUCUCGUCAUGCGAGGUGAAGAGCCGAGGCAUGCUCGUUUGAACCGGAUAAAGAAAUCU